UACGUAGGGUGCAAGCGUUAAUCGGAAUUACUGGGCGUAAAGCGUGCGCAGGCGGUUAUGCAAGACAGAUGUGAAAUCCCCGGGCUCAACCUGGGAACUGCAUUUGUGACUGUAUAGCUAGAGUACGGUAGAGGGGGAUGGAAUUCCGCGUGUAGCAGUGAAAUGCGUAGAUAUGCGGAGGAACACCGAUGGCGAAGGCAAUCCCCUGGGCCUGAACUGACGCUCAUGCGCGAAAGCGUGGGGAGCAAACAGG
rnacentral:rRNA from 1 species